rnacentral:rRNA from 1 species
UUUUUUAUUUAAAAAUAUUUUAUUUAAAUAUAUAAAUAUUAGAAAUUAUAUAUAUAUAUAUAUAAAUUAUAGAUAAAUUAUAUACUGAAAAGGAAAGUUUUAUUUAAUUAAAAAGUAAUUGUAUGAACCUUUAGUAUUAGGGUUUUUCAAAAAAAAAUAAAAUUUUAUUUUUCUCGAAAUAAAUAGAUCUAAUUAAAAUUAAUUUAAUUUGUUUUAAAAAAUUAAUAAAAUUUUAAUUAGAAGUGAAAUUCUUAUCAAAAUUUAUGAUAGCUAGUUUUAAAAAAAAAUUUAAAAUUUUUCUGUUUUUUUUUUAAUAAUAUAUAAAAUAACAGAUUAUUUCUUUUGGGAUAAGCUAAAAGAAUUUUUAAAACUAAUAUACUAAUUUUUUAAAAAGGAGUAAAAUUAUUCCUUUAAUUGUUAUAAAUAAUUAUAAUUAUAAAUAUUAUUAAAUUUUAAUUUUUUUAAAUUUUAUUAAAAUAAUUUAAUUUUAAAUUAUUUUAAAAAUGAAAAUAUUAGUAUAAAUUUAUAUAUAUAUAUAUGUAUAUAUGCAUAUAUAUAAUAAUGAAUUUUUAAAAUAAAAUUAAAGAACUCGGCAAAUUAUUUUUUUGACUGUUUAAUAAAAACAUUUCAUUUAGUUAAUUAAAUUAAAUGAAGAUCCUGCUCAAUGAAUUAUUAAAUUGCUGUAGUAUUUUGACUAUACAAAGGUAUUGAAAUAAGAUUUUAAUUGAAUGCUAAGAGAAUGGAUUAACAAAAAAAUUCUUUUUUGAUUUUAAAAAUUGAAAUUAAUUUUUUUUGUGAAGAAGCAAAAAUAAAAAUUAAGGACAAGAAGACCCUAAGAAUUUUAAACUAUUAAUUUUAGGUCUAAAUUUUUUUAGUUUUAAUUGGGGCGAUUAAUUAAAAUUUUAAACUUUGUUUGAAAAUAAAAUGAACCGUUAUUAACGGUAAUAUGAUAAAAAUACUCUAGGGAUAACAGCGUAAUAAUUUUUGAUAGUUCCUAUAGACAAAAUAGUUUGCGACCUCGAUGUUGGAUUAGGAUUCUAAUUUAAUGAAGAAGUUAAAUUAAGAAGUUUGUUCAACUUUUAAAAUCCUACAUGAUCUGAGUUUAGACCGAUGUGAAUCAGGUUAGUUUCUAUCUUAAUUUAAUAAUAACUUUAUAAGUUAGUACGAAAGGAAUUCUUAUAUAAAAUUAUUUUUUUAAAGUCAACAGUUUUUGCAUCAAUUUGUGGAAUU